AAGAGGCAGCCCAACCCCACGCAGCCCUCUUUCUCUUUCUUUCUUCCAUUCCCCUCCCGACCCCUCGUCUCCUCCUCCUCCCAUCCCACCGCGCUGCCGCCUCCACCCACCGGCGACCCCCGCCGUCUCCGUCUCCCCUACCUCCGCCGCCCCCCACGGACGCACCGGUGCUUCCGGAUCCGGGCGCACCCGUGUGAAGCGCGGACUGCAAAACCCGCUCCCGGGAACCCUAGCAGCCCACACUUCGCCGGCGCGCAGCAACGGGAGGAACGCGAGCGGCGCGACGACUUCUUCCACGACGUUACGCUGCGCCUCGCCGACGUCGCCCUCUCGGCCGUCAACGUCAGCACCGGCCCCUCUCUCCUCCUCUCGGCUCGCCGCGGCCUUGUUCUGCUUCGACGCUGAUGCGGCUGACAUCGGGCGCCGUGCUCGACCUCGGGUGCGCCCCCGGCUCGGGGCUCCAGCCAGAACCUUGGCCUGCUCGACAAGGGCGGCAUGGUCGUAGGCGUCCUGUCCAUGUCAAGGGCAGAAGGUGAAUGACCCCUCAGAUGGAGGUCUAGUUUGUUAGUUACCAAAGAGAGAUAGAGAAGAUGAGGUCUAGUUUGAGUUUUGCUGCUAGCUCAUCUUCACAACCUUGCAGUUGCAGGGGUCUACAAAACUGGCGACUUCCCCCACAAUGCCAAGGAGGGAUUCAUCUGUCUGCGCUGCGCUGAAUGUUUCUUUCUGCAACGAAACCGAUGGAUCUUCAGACCUACCCAUCUGGAUGGUUAAUAUUCAUUCUUUGGCGUCGGGCUGGAUUGUGGUGAGUCGACGCCAAACACCACGGGGGCGCUGCUGCACACACAAGUGGGAUCACAUCUCCCUUACUGAUACUACUCAGGCACCAAGUUCCGCAAGCAUGCUGGUCGAGGAUACUUCGCUACAUGACUCUAGAGCAGCUCACCAUAGGUGAUAGGCGGCGAUCUCCAGUAGGACCGGACCGGUGUAGGCACCAAGUUCUGCUGAUCUGGCAAGCAUGCAGGUCGAGGAUACUUUGCCACAUGACUCCAGAGCAGCUCGCUAUAUAGAAGAUAGAUGAUAUCCAGUAGAACCUGACCGGUGUAGGUAGACUGGGAUGACUCUGCGCCAAGGCGAUCUUGUUGGGUACCCUCCUGUUCUGAGGAAGCGCUUAAGAUUUCUAACACAAUUGCACCUCUGUGCUCUGGAGAUGUUGGUAUGGCUGACUCGUUGCUAGGACCAGAUUGUUUCCGCUUCAGCCGGUGCAGGAGCGGCUCCCCCUCUGCCUCCGGUGGCCGCUUCUUCUCCGACUCUGGCGUAGAUAGACUGGGAUGAAUCUGCGCCCCUGUCGUUAAGAAAUAGACAUUUCAAUGAUUGGCAACUCGAUCUUGUUGGGUACCCUCCUAUUCUGAAGCAGCUUUAGAUUACUGGCACAUUUGCACAUCUGUGCUCUGGAGAUGUUGGCAUGGCUGCCCGUUGCUCGGAGCAGAUUGUUUCCGCUACUGCCGGCGCAGGAGCGGCUCUCCCUGCGCCUCCAGUGGCUGCUUCUUCUCGCACUACAGCAUAGCUGGACAUGUAAGCUUUUGGACUUUGACCAGCUCAUACUAUAGAGGGGCGCAAGUGGUCGUUAUGGGUAAUUAUGUUCAUCCACCAUUCUUCAGAUGCUCCUUUGUUUGGUACAGAUAAGUAAGUGAUGUUUUAUCGAAUCACCAUAGUCGAACCAACCUUUUUAUGGCUGGACGGCCCCUUCAUUGAUGCUCUUAACUGCAACUCAAGUGGUUGUGAUGCUACUCUGUAAGUGCUUGUGUGUAGAGUAAAGCAAUCUUGCUUUAAUCCUUUUGUCACGUGCUCGUGCUUGUGUUUGUGGUACCAUUCAGUUUCAGCCAGUCAAUGUGUUAGCUGCUGGAAUUCUACUGCUCCAUGUUUUCCUUCCCUUCCCUGCGUGCCUUUUGUUGCUAGUUUCUCGACUAGUAUUUCACACUACAUCUUCUUGCUGUAAUUGUAACUGCAUUCUUCCUCCUGUUGACCGAAGUGAUCCUUAAAAAUAUGAGAUUUUAUGGUUUCAAAAGGGCUACAUCAUUGUUCAUCAUCCUUAUGUGCACCAUCUCAUGCUAUCACAAUGGUCAACCAUUCAUCUCGUAUGUAUCAAUGUAUGUAUGUGUGCAAAAAAAAACAUUCAUGCUGCUUAUUUCUUUUACAGUUUUGACAUUAUGUUGUACCUUGGUUCAUUAUAACUGAAUCUCAAUACCUUUUUGAUGUUGUGCACCCGUCCCGUGUUAUCUCUUCAGAAUUUGAUGGCUAAUUUGAUGACGUUGUUCUGCUUAUGUGACAAUCUCUUAUCAUGGAUGCUUCUACUUGACAAUUUGCAUUUAACUAAAAAACAUUUUAUUUCAGACAAAAGAACAGAAGUUUUCUAGUCUGGGUCUGUCUUAACUUCGUGAAUGAAGGACGCUCUGCUAUUUACUGUUGCUGAUAAUUAUUCUUCUCUGAAUGAAAGGAAUCCCUUUUGCACCGUUUGCAAAGGAGUUGGAUAUGCGGGGGCAUGGGGUCCCGGUCAAAGUGGCCAACACCACCUACAUGGGCAUGAACGCCGUCUACUGCGCCGGCGGCGUUUACAACCUGCCGAUCUUCCAGUAGCUCAUGGCGGAGGAGCCAUAGCUGCCGGUUGGGUUGGUUCCAGUCCUAGCAAGCGCGAACACAGCGCCGGAUCCACCUUGGCCACAACCACACACCUUAUUGAAUAUAUAUGUAUCUACACAAUGAUGAUACACGCACAGGUGCACGGCUGAUGGUAAGCCGGCUCCACUUCAGCCCCUCCGGUUGCCCCUAUUCCUCUUCCACUCCGGCACGGCUGAUGUUUCCUCACCCAGGUGCACAAACGGGUGGUGUGCGUGGGGGAGAAGGCGCCUGACAUUACCAGUGAGUCCAUCGGCCUGUGUUGGUGCUCACUCGACGCCUUCGGUGGCCUCAUCUUGUUUGAUUGAACCUCAACCCAUGCGUCAAGUUAUUUUUUGCUAGGCCGCACCGGAGUUGAGAGCCAGCGCAAAAUCAUGCCUGCUCUCCCUCGAGCCCCUGCCUCCCGUGACGCCUCCGGUGGAUGAUUCUUCUCUGACUACGGCCUAGGUGUUUGUGCUAUGGAAUUGGUGAGUUGAAGGAAGAAGCUCAAGAUGUAGAAGAAUGACAGGUCGUCUGGGACUCUCGAUUGUUUUGCUUGGCUGUUUAAGCUUAGCAUUGGAGGAGAAACUGAUGUUUGUAGUAUUCAAGAAUGUGCUGCUUGUUACCUUGUGGCGUGACUGAAGGACAGACGGCGGAGGGCGUGGUGGAAAAACCUGGGAAGUCACAGGCUUGAGAGGGAGAGAUGUUGAUACACGCCACAUGUACCAAUCUUAUCCAGCAGCCCUACAUAUGUGUAACAAUGGCAGUGGUGUCCGCCUCGUCCAUUGUUCAGGUAUGCUUGAUGAACUAUGAGAGCUUCGGCUUCGUCGCAUGGUAAAUCUCGACAUUUUAAAGAAGGCACAUCCUUAUUUCUUCAAUUUAUAGUUGAUCACACUUAGAAUGCCAAGAUUGUUGAGACGAGACGUUUGAGAAGGAUGGUGACACAAAGGCGGCGGAGAGGAACACGAUAGUGGGUGAUGAGCUGAGGCGGUUUUGUGAGAGUUGGAUGGCAAGCAAUUGGAGUUGUGCAGUUGCUGAAAAUAAAGUUUGGUCUUGGCUGGAGAGGCGUCAUUCAUGCAUGAUGAUGGCUUUGCAAGAUUGUCCACCUCCUCCUAUCGUAUGAAUCAUUCAUUUAUGUUGUAUAAAUCUGAAAUUCUUCAAUGGGAUUGUCCAGGAUAUAGAUGAGCAAUACAAUAGUGUCAUGUGAAAUAGGAAUUGUACAAAUCCUCUUUCUGGAGAAGUGGAUUGUGAUGUUAAUAGCAAAAUCAUUACAUCUUGUUUUCUUUC